rnacentral:lncRNA from 1 species
AUAGAAACAGAAGGUCAAAGUGCAAAAAGAAAAAAUUCGGCUACGUGGGACGGCCUAAUCAGUAGUCACAAUGAACCGGAGCACGCCGUGUAUCAAAACACGCUGAUAUCGGCACCACGCGGGCGAUCUGCAUACCCAGCGAUCUGAUGACCCAAGUUCAAUCCCGUGCACAUGAAUGACUCAGAUUCAUUCCCUCAUUAGAUGCGAUCGGAUGAACGAGAUCAAUCACGAUAAACGAUCCAGAUUUUUCCACGCAAUUAGGCUAAACAUGCAAAGAUCGGACGACCCUCAUCGCUCCACGUCGAUGCGAAUGGACGGUCUAGAUCAACACGAGAUGGGUAGGGGAACCUAAACCUUAACUGCCAG